AGUAUGAGUUUAAUUUUGGCUCUGAUUGAACGUUUUUCAGUAGUUUUAAGACAUGCGAAUCUUUGUCUGUAUACUUAAAACAAGGAAGGUAAAUUAUAUUGGUUACAAUAUGAGUCAACUUCUUUGGAUCACUAGAUCAACUUUAGGUAAAAGGACAAGGUGUAAAGGUGAGUAAUGAUAAAUUAGAUACUUUAUAGCCCUCUCGAAUAGGGGAUAGUUUAAUUUAGUUGAAACACACUUUUAAAUUAAACAUAAAAUAGCAUUUUUAUAAUAAAGGAAAAUAUAAUUUUUAAUAUCUAUUUAUUUUUUAUAUAUAGGUUUCAUUAAAAAGGUCAUCCGCUAUAAAAAUCGAUUUAUUUUGUUUAAUGGUAGUUGGUGGGGUAAUAGCCUACCAAGCCUACGAUCAAUAGCCAAGUUUGAUAGAACAGAUGGCCACAUUGGGAAUGAAAAGCCCCAAGUAAAGUAAUUUACCAGCAGUCAAGAAUAUUAGUCAAUGCUCGCAAGAGUGAACUAGCUAACUGAAAUCUUAAGAUCAAUUAAAACUGGUACUUAAGAUAACGUAAGGGAAAAUAAUGAUAUUACCUUGCUAUAAGUGUUGUCCAAAUAACUGGUGCCAGAAGACUCGGUAACGCCAGAAACGCAAACGUUAGUCGUCCUAAUCAGGCGUAAAGGGUGAGUAGGCUGCUUUUAAAGUUAUUAAUUAGAAGCUCUAACUUCAAUAACAAGGCUCUAAUAAAGAAAAGUUUAAAUUUAAAUCGAACUAAUCAGUUAGCAACUGCAGUUAUUUACACAGUUAGUAAUUAAUAAUGAAUAAAAGCUAGAAUCAAACAGAGGAUAAACCGAACAAUGUUUAGAGUAGGGAUGAAAUCCUUAAAUACUAAAUGGAGUACUAAUGGUGAAAACUUUUAUCUAAUAAUGAUUGACGCUGAGGAACGAAGGUGAGAAUAGAAAAUAGGAUUGGAGACCCAGAUAUCCCUCACUGUCAACGAUGAAUGGUGGUUGUUAGUUUUAAAAAGAACUAGUAACGAUGUUAACGCGAUAACCAUUCCGCCUUGCGAGUACGGUUGCAAAACUGAAACCAAAAAAAUUAGUCGAUCUCGGAGCAAACGAAGUGAAGCAUGUUAUUUAAUACGAUAGUCCGCGUAAAAUCUUACCAGUUCUUGCAUAACUCUUGCCUUCGGGUUUAACUAUUAAUAAAAUAGGUUUCUAUUUGAACCUAGAAGAAUAACUACUAGCUAGUAUUUCACAAAAUAGGUUUAUUAAAAUAGAAUUGAGUUACAGGUGUUGCAUGGCUGUCGUCAGUCCGUAUUUUAAGAAUUUAGGUUAACUCCACUAACGGACGCAAUCCCUGUUGUUAAUUUAUACUUAACAAUUUAUGAAUUUUACAUAUUUUCAUUGGGGGCUAAGACAAGUCGUUAUGGCUCUUAGGAACUGGGCUAUCAACGUGCUGCUAAGAACUUUUACAAAGUGAAGCAAAACCUUAAAUCAGUUGUAAAAUAGCUUGCUAUUAAGAAAACUAAAUUAAUUAAAAAAGGAAGAGCAAAUCAUUAAAGAAAGUUAAUAAAUAAAUAAUAAAAAAGGAUUGUUGCCUGAAAUUCGGCAACAUGAAGUAGGAAUUUCGAGUAAUCGUUGAUCACAAGCGCAACGGUGAAGAAAGCAUUCGGGAUGAACUAACUGUCUGUCGCUGGGGAGAAGCUCGGAACGGGGGAAACUGAAAAAUCACUAACAAAAUUUAACUAGUUAAUUAUGGAUGCAAGUUUAUAAUUAUUAGUAUUAGCGCUAAAUAUAAAUAAGUAAAUUAUUUGUUUUGUUAUUUAGUACAAAUUUGUUAAUUAAUAAGUAUCAGUUAACUCUUCGGGGUAACAUCUCAAAAGUCAUAGCAAGGUAGCCGUACUGGAAGGUGCUGCUGGAAAAUAUUUCAUUUAAUACCCC
rnacentral:rRNA from 1 species